rnacentral:rRNA from 1 species
CACGUAGGGCGCAAGCGUUGUCCGGAAUUAUUGGGCGUAAAGAGCUCGUAGGCGGUCUGUUGCGUCCGCUGUGAAAACUCGGGGCUUAACCCCGAGCCUGCAGUGGAUACGGGCAGACUAGAGGUAGGUAGGGGAGAAUGGAAUUCCCGGCGUAGCGGUGAAAUGCGCAGAUAUCAGGAGGAACACCAAUAGCGAAGGCAGCUCGCUGGGACGGUACUGACGCUCAGGCGCGAAAGCGUGGGGAGCGAACAGG